ensembl:lncRNA
CACAGACACACCUGCAUGCACACACAAGCUUGCACAGACACACCUGCAUGCACACACAGGCUUGCACAGACACACCUUCAUGCACACACAGGCUUGCACAGACACACCUGCAUGCAUACAAGGCUUGCACAGACACACCUGCAUGCACACACAGGAUUGCACAGACACACCUGCAUGAACACAAGGCUUGCACAAACAAGCACAUAGUGCAUACACCCAAACAAAUGCAAGCUCGAAAACAUACUCAUGCAUGAACACACUCAGAGCAUGCAUACACCCAAGCAGACAAUCAAAGUGUGCACACAUGCACACUUGCACAGUGCACACAUGCACACAUCCACACAUGCACACAUGCACAUACCCAUACCACUCAUGCUUGUGCACAAUUUCAAAUGCACAUGCUCAGAGUAGGCAGACACUCAAAUACAGACACACUCAUGCACACACUACAAGUGUACACACACAAGCAUACAUUCUCAUGUUUGCAUACAUCCAAAGCACACAAACAAAGGCACAUGUGCCCUCAUGAUGCACACAUGAGUGCAAACUUCCAAAGUGUACAUACCCAAAGCAUUCACACACAAGAAAUCUGUAUGCUUUCACACAUGCACACCUGCAUGCAUGUACACUCAAAGCAUGCCACACACAUCAGUGCACACCCCCAGAGCAUACACAUACAAGCACAUGUACUGCCAUGCAGUGCAUACGCAAAGCAUGCACACAGCCACACACGUGCAUGUGUACAAGCCCACAGACAUACACAGACAUGCUUCACAACUGCACUCUAGAAGAGAGCACGGGGCAGAUGGCUCGGUGGUUACCUCUGCAGACUGACACUGGAGAAAUCCAUAAGUUACUCAUUGCUGAGGCUUGGGAGAAGGCUCAGUUGGCAAAGUGCUGGCCACACAAGCAUGGAGACCAGAAUUUGCCCCCAGAACCCACAUAAAAAGCCAGGUGUUGUGACAUACACUUCUAAUCCCAGCCCCAGGAGGCAGGUGGAUCCCUAACACACUCUGGCUGGCCAGCCCAGACAGAUGCAUGGGUUAUAGGUCUCAAGAAUAAGAUAGACGGCAUUAUGAAUAAUAAUAUCCGAAGUCAACCUCUGGCCGCCACGCAAGCACACAUGUGUGCACCUCCAUACACACUCACCACACAAACACAUGAACAAAAUCCACAGUGGUGCCCAGACAUACAUUCAGGCAAAACACUCAUACACAUUAAAUUAAAUAUUAAGAAGUUAAAUUUAUAUAAUAAAUCUUUUAGGAAAUUAAAGUCCAUGCUGAAUGGAGGCUGCACAGCAUUGUCUUCAUCCUUCCACCCCAGGACCUCACACCUACUUCCAGACUGUCGUCACAAAGCAGGGGAGCCCGCCAAGACCUCCCAUUAAGAGGGGGAACUAGAAGAAGUUUGCAGCCCUUCCUUGGAUCCAGCCAGGCAUCUGUGAGCCCAAAAAGGGCCGCCAGGCAUGAGAGCACUCCAGAUGCGAAGUAGGAGGAAUAUGCAUUUGAGGCCAGCCUGGACAACAUACCAAACUCUCCAGCCAAACAAACAAAAUGAAAAAGAUGGUGCUAAAGAGAUGGCUCUGUGGAUCAAGCACUUGCUGUACACGAAUGAAGACCUGAAUUUGAGUCUCCAGGACCUGUGUAAAGAUGGACAAGGCAUCAGUGUCUGGAAUCCCAGUUUUCCAUGGGAGAUCGGAGGUGGAGACAGAAGAAGCCUGGAAGGCCGGGGCCAGGCAAGCCUGCUCUAUGCAUCUUGAACAAGAGACUUUGCCUGUCCUAUUAGGUUUCUGUUACUGUGAUAUAGCACCAUGGCCAAACAACUUGGGGAAGAACGGGUUUAUUCCAGUUUACAGCUUACAGCUUCUUGAGAGAAGUCAGAGCAGGAACUGAAACAGAAACCAUUGGGCAAUGCUGCUUAUGGGCUUGCUGAACCUACUUUAAAAAAAAAUUACUUACUUUAUGUGCAUUAGUGUUUUGCCUGCAUGCUCGUCUGUGUGAGGCUGUCUGAUCUUGGAGUUAUACACAGUUGAGCUGUCAAAUGGGUACUGGGAAUCGAACCCCAGUCCUCUGGAAGGUCAGUCAGUGUUCUUAACCACUGAGCCAUCUCUCUGGCCCUCAG